rfam:Angiostrongylus costaricensis strain Costa Rica genome assembly, scaffold: ACOC_scaffold0002336
ACCUCGUCAAUACAGUUGGUAGAGCGUUAGAAUUUUAAUCUAACAGUCAGGGGUUCGAGCCCCCUACGGGGCU